rnacentral:rRNA from 1 species
UCCGUAGGCGGAAUAAUAAGUCAGUGGUGAAAGUCUGCAGCUCAACUGCAGAAUUGCCAUUGAUACUGUUAUUCUUGAAUUAUUAUGAAGUGGUUGGAAUGAGUAGUGUAGCGGUGAAAUGCAUAGAUAUUACUCAGAACACCUAUUGCGAAGGCAGAUCACUAAUAAUAUAUUGACGCUGAGGGACGAAAGCGUAGGUAGCGAACAGGAUUAGAUACCCUGGUAGUCC